AGACCUGGCGGCAGGCCUACCAUGCAAGUCGAGCGGCAGCGGGAAAGUAGCUUGCUACUUUUGCCGGCGAGCGGCGGACGGGUGAGUAAUGCCUGGGAAAUUGCCCAGUCGAGGGGGAUAACAGUUGGAAACGACUGCUAAUACCGCAUACGCCCUACGGGGGAAAGCAGGGGACCUUCGGGCCUUGCGCGAUUGGAUAUGCCCAGGUGGGAUUAGCUAGUUGGUGAGGUAAUGGCUCACCAAGGCGACGAUCCCUAGCUGGUCUGAGAGGAUGAUCAGCCACACUGGAACUGAGACACGGUCCAGACUCCUACGGGAGGCAGCAGUGGGGAAUAUUGCACAAUGGGGGAAACCCUGAUGCAGCCAUGCCGCGUGUGUGAAGAAGGCCUUCGGGUUGUAAAGCACUUUCAGCGAGGAGGAAAGGUCAGUAGCUAAUAUCUGCUGGCUGUGACGUUACUCGCAGAAGAAGCACCGGCUAACUCCGUGCCAGCAGCCGCGGUAAU
rnacentral:rRNA from 1 species